AUGGGACUGUUUGGAAAAACCCAGGAGAAGUCUCCCAAAGAACCAGUCAAUGAGUGGUCAUUGAAGAUAAGAAAGGAAAUGAGAGUUGUGGACAGGCAAAUAAGCGAUAUCCAAAGAGAAAAAGAAAAAGUGAAAUGGUCUGUGAAAGAUGCUGCCAAGAAGGGCCAGAAGGAUAUCUGUGUAGUUCUGGCCAAGGAGGUGAUCAGGUCAAGGAAGGCUGUGAGCAAGCUGUAUGCAUUCAAAGCACACAUGAACUCAGUGCUGAUGGGGAUGAAGAACCAGCUCGCUGUCUUGUGAGUGGCUGGUUCCCUGCAGAAGAGCACAGAAGUGAUGAAGGCCAUGCAACAUCUUGUGAAGAUUCCAGAAAUUCAGGCCACCAUGAGGAAGUUGUCCAAAGAAAUGAUGAAGGCUGGAAUCAUAGAGGAGAUGUUAGAGGACACUUUUGAAAGCAUGGACGAUCAGGAAGAAAUGGAGGAAGAAGCAGAAAUGGAAAUUGACAGAAUUCUGUUUGAAAUUACAGAAGGGGCCUUGGGCAAAGCACCCAGUAAAGUGACCGAUGCCCUUCCAGAGGCAGAACCUUCAGGAGCGAUGGCUGCCUCAGAGGAUGAGAAGGAGGAAGAGGCUCUGGAAGCCAUGCAGUCCCAGCUGGCCACACUCCGCAGUUAGGGGCUGCCUAGCCCACUGGGUGUGCUCACACUCCGCUCAAGAACUGCCAUUUUAUGUAUCUCUUGCACUACAUCUCUGUUGUGAGGACUACCAUUUUGGAGAAGGUUCUGUUUGUCUCUUUUCACUCCCUGCCCAGGUUUUGGGAUCACAAAGGGAUUGUUCUUGUAAAGGUGGCAUAAAUAAAUGCAUCACUUUUAGGAGUAUAGACAGAAAUAUCUUAUUGUGGGGAGGGGAGAGAAAUCCAUCUGCUCAUGAAGCACUUCUGAAAAUACAGGUGAUUGCUUGAAUGUCCAAAACUCUACUUUCGUCUAUAAAACACUAUAUAAAUGAAUUUUAAUAAAUUUUUGCUUUAGCACUUGACCCCACUGUAGAUUGCCCUGUGCAGUAAACUUUCCAGGUGUUGGCUUCCCCAGAUUACUUCAUUUGUUGGGCGUGGAAAGAGUUGCUAUGGCCAGGCAUAUGGGAUUUGGAAGCUCAGCAGAAAUGACUUCUGCUCUGCAGAUGCUGCUCCCCAGCUUUCACAGACAUGGUGUGGCAGCCAUUCUUUUAUCUAUUUAACCAAGAGGAUGCUUGGGAAUUGUGCUGUUUUUCCUGUUGGCUGGUGGCUGUAGUAUGUCCUAGGGUGUGUAUGUGGGUCUAUUUAGAGCUUCUGUCCCUUCCUUCCCAUUGCAAGUUGCACCCAGAUCAGAAGCUGUAAGACUAGGUCUCUUUCACCUCUCAGUGCCUGUCCCUGCUUUGAGCUGGUUGUCUUGUGCAUGGGACAUGGGCCUUCCUAUCCUUGUUUUCUCAAAGUCAGGAGCUGACCAGGAGCACACGAAGAUGUGGUCAUGCAUCCUAACCAACAUUCACUCAUCCGGGACAUUCUUGAGAUACAUUUAUAAAUCAUUUCAGCAGUAGCACUUUGUAUGUGUUGAGAGGUUACAGAGCUUUUCGACAUAUGCGAUCUCAUUUAGUCUUUACAAAUAAGGAAAACAGCUCAGUUUUGGAAGUAUCAGAGCUGGGAUUCAAACCCAGAUCCUCUGGUCCAAGUUGUAUGUGCACUGAACUAAUCAGGCAGGAAAAAAGCCCAGUCACUGUCUCACAGAUUGGUUUUCAUAUAUUAUAGCAAAAUCCUGAAACAAUAGGGUCCUUCCAGUCUUAUCAUACAAAAUGGCAAUCUUGGCUGGGUGCAGUGGUUCAUGCAUAUAAUCCCAGAGCUUUACAAGAGUGACACAGGAGGCUCUCUUGAGAAUAGGAGUUCAAGACCAGCCUGGGCAACAUAGCAAGAUCCUGUCUCU